UACAGAGGUCCCGAGCGUUGUUCGGAUUUAUUGGGCGUAAAGGGUGCGUAGGCGGCGGAGUAAGUUGGGUGUGAAAUCCCGAGGCUCAACCUCGGAAUUGCAUUCAAUACUGCUUCGCUCGAGUACUGGAGAGGAGGCUGGAAUUUACGGUGUAGCAGUGAAAUGCGUAGAUAUCUGGAGGAACACCGGUGGCGAAGGCGGCAUCCUGGACUGGUCCUGACACUCAGGAGCGAAAGCGUGGGGAGCGAUCCGG
rnacentral:rRNA from 1 species